rnacentral:lncRNA from 1 species
AGUAGAAGAAAGCCUCAAUUCUGUUAGGAGGUGAUUCAUUUGGUACUGCUCUAUCCACUCUGGAAGAAGAGGAUGAUGUAAAGAGGAAUCAUGAGCCAGACUCCUGCUUUACAGGAAGCACCAUGCUCUGCAGUCUCCAUGACCUGACCUCGACUUCCCAGCCACCCUGUGAAAGUGAUUUGACAGAUGAUCUUCCUCAACAUGGGUGAGGAACUUACACCAAGUCACAGAGCUCCUGAUUGUCGAGGUUGUCCUCCCCCAG